rnacentral:lncRNA from 12 species
UUUGGAACUAUCUGCCCUACUUAUUGAGAAACCAAUGCCUUUGCCCUCAGUCUGUUUUGCAUGACACUGUUUUGAAUGUUUUGAAAGACACUGAUCCUACUUCUUUCUCCCUAGGUCAUCAUGAUUUCAGGCAUAACUGAAGCAUGGAAAUAGAUGAACACAUCACACAGCAUCAUUGCAUUACUUUAGAUUCUUUGCCUGAACUGUCCAAAAGGAGCUACUGGUUAUUUCAAAUAAUAUCCUAGAAGAAAGAAUAUAUAACAUACGUUGUGAAUUUUCUGCAACUAUUGCUACAUGUAACAACAAUGGUGAAUCUACAUUCUACCAUAGAAAUACCAAGAUUUUAAAAGGAAGCCUAAGAAACCAAGAAGGAUCACCAGAGGAACUAAAGAAUAUAAAUAUGGAAGCAAUAAUUUGUCUAUCAUGAGUGAAUAAGGGAAUUACUGAAAUGAAAAGUUGGGGCAGAAUUUUAAAGGUUACUCUUUUUCCUAUGGGUUCCUGAUUCUGCAGAGGAAAGGAAGAACAUACUGCAUCAAUGUGAAUGUUCUGGAAUGUGCUCAAGCUCCACAACUAAUAUUUCAUGUUGAUUGUACUUGGCAAUAGCAAAAUACAGGGGAAAAUAAAGCAAUGAAGGGAUCAGAAUGGAU